AGAGGUACUGGUGUGCGGGAGAGGCCAGCAAGACAACCAGGGACAGCUACUCCGCCCAGGGCCGGCAGCCGCCCCGCCUCGACCACGCCCCCAACCCAAGCCCGGGAUCGCCCCUCCCCGACCACGCCCCUCACCCCCGCCCUUCCGGGGCCGAAAGCGAAAGCGCGCUCGGUCUCUCGGUGCUCGCUCCAUCGGGUCUGGCGGGGCUGGCAGCGGCGAGGACCCGGGUCUGGCGCUGUGGGCCGGGAGCCGUGGGGCGGCAUGGAGGGGCUGGUUGUCGCCGCCGGCGGGGACGUCUCCCUGCACAACUUCAGCGCGAGGCUGUGGGAGCAGCUGGUCCACUUCCACGUCAUGCGGCUGACGGACUCGCUGUUCCUGUGGGUGGGGGCCACGCCGCACCUGCGCAACCUCGCCGUGGCCAUGUGCAGCCGCUACGUGAGUGCCUGGCGGCCGAGGGUGCGGGCGGCGGGGCGGGGGCGCGGGGGCGCCGGGCCUGCGCGAGCUGCAGCCCCCCAGGCUUCUCUUGGGUCCACAGGGCGCCCUACUCCCCCGAAGCCCACCCGUGGGAUGUCUUAGGAAGCCCGCGGGCGCCAGGGCCUGCACCACCUCGGGAGCUGCGCGCGGGCCCCGGGCCCCUCUCCUUGUCCCGCCGCCCCGCAGCUGCGUCCCGCACUGGUCUCUGUAGGUCAGAAUGUCUUGGGUCUGUCCUCGCCACACGCUCGCUGGGGGACGCGUCUGCCUCGUAGCUCUCCUGCCAUCUGGAUUUUGAGCACACUGAUAAUUUUUUGGGGACUCUUGCGUCUCCACUGGAUGUCUCAGGCAUUUCGCACUAGGCACACAUCAGGCUCUCUUCUCCAAACCUGCUCCCUCCUCCGCCCUGCCGCCAGUCAAAGCAGACAAAACCCAAGCCGCCCUCACCUUCACCCUGCCGCGCUGGGCCAAGCCUGGGACAUUAUCAUUUCCCCUCCUCUCCCGCCUUGAGGUUUAUUCUCAAAGAUCUGUAGACAAGGUCUCUCACUGUCACCCAGGCUGGGGUACAGUGUCAUUAUUAUAGCUCACUGUCACCUCAAACUCCUGGGCUAUUUUGCCCAGGCUGUUCUUGAACUCCUGGCCUCAAGUGAUGAUCCUCCUUCCUCAGUGAGCCCGACUCUUCUCAUAAGGACAUCAGAGUUCUGCCUCACCCUCCUGAGUAGCUGGGAUUACAGGUGUGAGCCAUCACGCCGGGCUAAUUUUUGUAGUUUCAGUAGAGCUGAGGUUUCAUUAUGUUGGCCAGGCUGAUCUCGAAAUUCUGACCUCGUGAUCCGCCUGCCUCGGCCUCCCAAAGGCAAGCAAGUCCCUUUGGAAGUAAAGAAUCUUUAUGCUAAUCUUUAGACUGAAGUUGGAUAUUUUCAUUUCUCUGCUCAAAACCUUUCACGAGGUGAACUCGGAGCACUCGAAGACUCCAGUGACCUUCGGGCUCUGUUACCUCUUAGAGCUCCUGCCUGUCCUCGAGCUGGGCAGUGCUGGCCUCCCAGCCGCAUUAGCUCCCUCUCUCAGCCGUUGAGUGUUUGAAUGAGUGAGGCCCCCUCAGCGAGACCCUUCUGAAGCCAGUGAGGCAGUGAUGACUGAGGGUGCUGGGGGCAGGAAGUCAUGGGUGAGCCUCUUAGCUGUGCAGGUCCUGGCAGUGGACCUUUGAGCAGGCGGCAGCGGAAGAGGCCUGGGGGACCAGGGGUGAUGGGUGGGGCUGUGUGCUCUGUGCCACCUCGCAUUCUCUCUUUAUCCCAAGGCAUAGUGGGCAGGGCUUUGGGCACUGGUCAGAUCUGGUGUCGCUGCCUUGUGCCACUUUGUGCAGUGCUGGUUUGGGCUGGUAAGUUUGGAAGAAGUAGGCUCCUCCUGUGGGUGGUUUUGGUCACCCGACCCCAUGGUGGUCACAGCUCCCAGUGAGGUAUAUUUUCUCAUCUGGAAAGUGCCCCUCCAGCAAAGCCAGGCAGGAAAAGGAACAGGGGAUUGAUUGAGUUACCUGACUUGUCAGAAGUCCAGUCCCUCUCACUGGCCGCAGUGUGCCUGGGUGUUCUCUCCAGGGGCAGAGAGCCGAGCCAGCUGGGGAAAAGAGGUGUAGGCAUUAGCUUAAGGCAGGAAGCCCAAGGUUCCUGUGACCCGUGGGGCGGCCCUCCAUCUACUGUCCACCUGUGACCCGUGGGCCAGCCCUCCAUCUACCGUCCAUGCAGGUAGACUCUGUGGAGCUCUUGUACCUUGGUGGCAGGGCUGAGCAGUUGUAAUAGAGACUUUGUAAUCCAUAAAGCCUGAACUAGUUACUAUCUGGUCCCUCUCAGGAAUUUUGCCAGCCCACACGUGGAGAAUGGCACCAGACGGUCUGUGAGGUCUCUUCCCUCCAGCUUCCCUAAACUCCCACAUGUGAGACUGUAGAGAACAGACACCAUGCAACCCGG
rnacentral:lncRNA from 1 species